GUGUAGCUCAUUAUACAUGCAGAUUCCGAUGUUUACGUCAUUGUAUUUUCAUAUAGUAUGAAAAUACAAUGACGUAAACAUCGGAAUCUGCAUGUAUAAUGAGCUACACAA
rnacentral:miRNA from 1 species